rnacentral:rRNA from 1 species
GCAGUCGAACGGUGAAGCAGAGCUUGCUCUGUGGAUCAGUGGCGAACGGGUGAGUAACACGUGAGCAACCUGCCCCUGACUCUGGGAUAAGCGCUGGAAACGGCGUCUAAUACUGGAUACGAGCAACGGCCGCAUGGCCAGUUGUUGGAAAGAUUUUUUGGUUGGGGAUGGGCUCGCGGCCUAUCAGCUUGUUGGUGAGGUAAUGGCUCACCAAGGCGUCGACGGGUAGCCGGCCUGAGAGGGUGACCGGCCACACUGGGACUGAGACACGGCCCAGACUCCUACGGGAGGCAGCAGUGGGGAAUAUUGCACAAUGGGCGGAAGCCUGAUGCAGCAACGCCGCGUGAGGGAUGACGGCCUUCGGGUUGUAAACCUCUUUUAGCAGGGAAGAAGCGAAAGUGACGGUACCUGCAGAAAAAGCGCCGGCUAACUACGUGCCAGCAGCCGCGGUAAUACGUAGGGCGCAAGCGUUAUCCGGAAUUAUUGGGCGUAAAGAGCUCGUAGGCGGUUUGUCGCGUCUGCUGUGAAAUCCCGAGGCUCAACCUCGGGCCUGCAGUGGGUACGGGCAGACUAGAGUGCGGUAGGGGAGAUUGGAAUUCCUGGUGUAGCGGUGGAAUGCGCAGAUAUCAGGAGGAACACCGAUGGCGAAGGCAGAUCUCUGGGCCGUAACUGACGCUGAGGAGCGAAAGGGUG